rnacentral:rRNA from 1 species
CGCCAGCAGCCGCGGUAAUACGUAGGGUGCAAGCGUUAUCCGGAAUUACUGGGCGUAAAGAGUUCGUAGGCGGCUUUUUAAGUUAGAUGUUAAAUAUAUGGGCUCAACUCAUAUGCUGCAUCUAAUACUGGGAGGCUUGAGAGUGAAAGAGGCAAAUGGAAUUUCCGGUGGAGUAGUGAAAUGCGUAGAUAUCGGAAGGAACACCAAUGGCGAAGGCAGUUUGCUGGGUCACAUCUGACGCUGAGGAACGAAAGCGUGGGGAGCGAUCGGGAUUAGAUACCCCGGUAGUCCACGCCGUAAACGAUGGAUACUAGCUUUUCGGGGCAUCGACCCCUUGGGAAGCGAAGCUAACGCGUUAAGUAUCCCGCCUGGGGAGUACGACCGCAAGGUUAAAACUUAAAGGAAUUGGCGGGGGA